rnacentral:lncRNA from 1 species
UUUGUGGUCGUAUCUCUUAAGUCAGGGUUUAUUUAGCUAUUUAACUGUAAUUGUCCAAUCUGGAUGAACUAGGCAAUCCUUCGUGGGUUCGGUGAUCUUAUUUAAAAAAUUCAAAAGGAUUUUCAUCACUCUUUGUUGAGAGUAGGUGAUUCAUAUUCAUCCUUAAAAGAAAACUACAAAAAGAUUUUUCUUUAAUAGUUUCAAGUUUCAUUUUCAUAUGAAAUUCAAAAUUGAAAACCCAAAAAGAUUUUUCUUUGGUAAUCAUAGGUUUUAUUUUGCAUAGGAAGCUGAAAAAUUCAAAAAGAUUUUCAUCAAUUCUUUUAACAAUUGUUAUUUUCUUUUCUUCUUAAAGUUUCAAAAGAAGAAAAGAAAAAAGAAUGAGAGAUUGAUUGGUCACAUUGUAUCAAAAAUUCAUGAACUACGAACAACUGAUUCUUCUCUUUCGGGGGUGAGAUACGUAGGCGCCCUUCUUGAGAAAGUGUUGAACUCUAAUGCAUUCGUUAUCUCUUGUUCAUUUAGUUUAAGGUGGUUUGUUUGUGUCAUUCUCAUUGGACCUCUACAUCGCAGCAAAUCCAAGGAUGGGUUAGUUAUGUCCAACAAAGAUAUAGAGAGUGACAUCAUGGAUCAAGCAAGGAAAAGAGAAAAUAAGAAUUUAAAGAAAGAGAUAGUAAGAUUAAGGAAACAAAUGAUGGAAAUAUAUCGAGCUUGGGGCAGUGGGUUGCCUCUCCUUUCAUUCCCCACUAUUGACCUCGCAAAUACCUUAAGAUUUGUAUCAAAAUUGCAAAGUCAGUUUCCUACUGUUAUUGAUUCGCUACAAUACGCCUUAGAAUUCACUCCAACUCAAAAGUAUCCCAAUGAUUCCAUCACUCAUUCUCUAGCUCUUCAGUGUAAAUCUACAACAUUGAUAGAAUCACCUAUCCUCCCUGCUUUUGUUGCCCAACCCUUUACUGAGGCUCCCACUUUGUCUUUCUGUCCAAUGAUUGUGCUCCCUAAUUUACUAGUGAAUCAAUGUUCAAUACUCUUGAUGAUUACUGUUGUACUCCUGAUCCCACAUCUACGUCAAUUGGAUCACCAAAAUUUCUUACAAAGAAGUUUGGCAUGGUAGAAGAGCAAAAAAAAAUGGCUAGGAAAAUGAAGAACAUAACAAAGGUUAUGAAAAAUUCUUUAGGACUCGCGAAUUUUAAAGAUGUUGCAUAUAAGGACUGGGGCAUGUCAUCAAGUGUUAACCUUCCUCCUAACUUUGAGGUAUCAAACUUUGAGGAAUAUGUUGGGUACGAAGAUUCUGUAAAACACUUGGUACGAUAUUGCCAUCAGUUGAGGGGGACUAAAGAAAAGAAGAAGAAAAAUGCACCUAUUGUCUUUCCAGUGGAAAAUCAGAGAUGGAGAUGUCCAACUCAGAAAUAUUUCCAGUCUCAAUCUAGAUCUUACAAAUGAAAUCCACAUUCUCACCUGCAACAAGGUUCCUCUUUGCAAAAUCUAAGAUAUUCCAUUCCACUUCAUCAGUAUCCUUUGAACAAUGCACAGUUGUAUUCCCAUCCAUAUUUUUAUCCAUAAUGGCAUGCACCGGUCCUUCAACAUCAUCCUCGACCCUCAUAUAUUUGCCAAGGAACUUCUAAGACCAAGUUUCAAUCGAGUCCGGAGAUAGAAAAGACAAGGAAGUCAAAGGAUAAUUUACACCAAUUGAGAGUUGUAUGCCAGUUUAUUCCAGAGGUUAAGAAAGUUGGGCAUGAUCAGUCCCCUCCUUAGGUGUACUCAUGAUACACAUUCAAAAUAUUUUUAUCCUCAUGUACAAUGUGCAUAUCAUUCUGAUAUUUAGGGUCAUAGUAUUGAAGGUUGAAGUGCUUUGAAAAGACAAAUAAAAAGGAUAAUCCAACAAAAAUUAAUCAUAGUGCAAAAUGUUGACACUACAACGGUCACACAUAAUCCUUCAUCAAUGCACGAUAAUGCACAAUAUGAGGGAAACAACAAGUUAAGCAUGGAGAUUUAAAUCUUAUUUAUUAAAGAGAAUGUGUCUAAUAGUGGUGGAAGAUCUAGUCAUGAUAAUAUGCAACCUAGUGGUUAAGAUGUCAGGCUCAACAAUUGAAAAGUUACUCUUCUCCCUACUAGGAAGAGGUCUGGUCUUUCUUUUGUUCUUUUUUGUUAUCGGAAUUAUUUCAGGGUUAUAGUUCAGAAUCUAUCUUGUUUGGUCCUUAUGUCAUUUAUGUCCAAACCCUUCUACCUUUAAUUUUAACUAAAUAUAGUGUCCCUUUUCCCUUUGGGUUUUAAAUAUGUUUCGUACGUUUGUUUUCUUUACAUAAGUAUAUUUUUAUGGUGAUUCUAGUGAUAUGACAUACUGUCAGAAUUUUUAGCUAGAUCCUAAAAUCUAGUUUAAGCAUGAACUUUGAAUCAUAGGGAUAAAGUUAGAAAAAAAGAAUCUGAGAAAAUAGGUAGAGUGCUGCGUCAUUUGGUGAUAUGUUUAAGCUUUCCUUGAAAAUUAAAGCAAUUAAUUUGAGAAUCGCAAGAAUAACAUGAUCAUCAAUUUAAAGGCAUGUCUCAAUUAGGUCAAACAGUUGAUGCGUGAUCCUAUAUCAAGUGGAACGGAAAAAAAAUAAGCUCCACAAAAGCAUGUAUUGUUAGAUGUGAGAAAUGUACAACAAAGGUUGAGUUAUUUAUUUGACAACUGUAGAAGAAGAUGUAACACAAAUGCUCAGUUAAAGAUAGUGUUGCUAAAGUGUCACAAAUGAUCUUUAUUUUUCAUUUCAUAUUGCAUGAUAUGUACUUGCAUUUUCAAGGAUUGAUACGUCGAAGGCAUUUCAUUCUACUGUCCAAACAUUAUGUCAUCCUUUGUAGCCUUAGUUAUAUUUUCCUUCAUACCCCAUUUUUAGGAUCAAGAUAGAGUCAGCAAAGUUUUAAAAAACGUAUCGAGUAAAAAAAUAGUGUCAAAAAAGUUUCAAAAAAAAGAGAGAAAAAAAUUAUGUCAAAAACAAAGAAAAGAGAAAAGUGUCAAGAAAUAUAGAGUCAGAAAAUGUCUCAAAAAGAAAAAGAGUCAAAAAAAAAAGAAAAAAGGAGAGAAAAUCAGAAUCAAGCAAAAGAAUAAGUUGCCGAAACUAUGUGUGACUUGAUUCUCCUCUCUCGGUAUUGAGAUAUGUUGGCAGUCCUACUUAGGAUCAGUCCAACAAAAUAAAUAAUUUAGAAUUACCCGGUCAAAAGAAAUAAGGGCAUGAGCUAAUCUCCAUUUUUUAAGUCGAUUCCAAAAGUUGUAAGUCCUACCCUACCUCAAGUGUUGUUUGGGCCUCAUGCCAUUCUUUCUUUAUAACCUUAUCAAAAGCCAAGUUACAAUAAAAUAAAGUCCUUCAGAUAAAUCUUUGAGAAUGUUAAGGCUAAGAAUUUAAUGGAUAGGAUUAUGCAUUUUUGGAACUACUUUUCUUCCAUAGCUUAAGGAAUCAGGACAAAAAAAUGAGAGAGUGUUAUUGGUGAAAACCUUCAUGGGCACUAUAAGGUGAUGGUAAGUUGAGAGAGAUAAAAUCAUAGAGUCUUAUCACUGAAAACCCUAACAGGCACCUUAAGAUAAUUCUGAGUUGAGAGAAAUAAGAAUGAAAGAGCCUCGUUACCUUAGAGCAAUGGUGAGCUGAAAGAAAGAAAAUGAGAGACAAUUAUUGGAAAAACCCUUCAAGGCGUUAUUAGACGAAUGAAGUCUAUAAAAACUAGUGACCUAAGAAAGAAACUCAGUUUCAAGUCCAUUAACUCAACAAAAAUUGGUGGAAAUUUUUAAUGGAAAGAUCAGGCAUCUUAAUCUAAAGAGAAUGUCAUAAUCAUUAAAGUUGACUUUUAUUUUUAGGUUAAUCUUUUUCUUUUCUCUGUUUGAAAUAGGGACAUUUAUUGUCUUUUCUUUCUUCACUAUAUUUCUAUUUUUGGUUUUCUUGUGUCAGUAAUUCUAAAGGAAAGUCAUUUUUUCUUAUGUCUUUCAGUCAAAUCAAUAUCACAACAAAUGAGAAAAGAUUUCAAAACUAGCUACCAACUUCUUUAAUCUAAUAAAGCAAGACACAUUUCCUUGUUUGGGUAAUUCAAGUGGCAUUUGUAAGGAGACGUAUUUCCUUGUCUGGGUAAUUUAAGUGCAUUUAUAAGGAGACAUAUUUCCUUAUCUGGGUAAUUCAUGUGGCAUUUGUAAGAAGACACACUUCCUUAAUUGGGUAAUUUUAAUUUUACUUGUUAGGUUAUGCACUUCCUAACUAUAGUCUUGACUCCUAGACAAUUCACUUUCUAGUCGAGUCAUUCUACUUGACCCAUAGGAGACACACUUCCUUGGUGGGUAUUCAAGUUUCACUUGUUCGGCAGUUCACUUCCUAACUUAAGCCUUUACUCCUAGAAAAUGUACUUUCUAAUUGAGUAGUUAACCAUUAGGGGAUGCACUUUCAUGUUAGGGAAAUUCAUGUUUCGCUUGUUACGUAGUUCCCUUCCUAACCAAAGACUUUACUCCUAGAAAAUGCACUUUCUAUUUGAUUCAUUCCACUUGACCCUUAGGAGACACACUUUCUUAGUGGGCAUUCAUGUUUUUCUCGUUAGGUGGUUCACUAUCUAACUUAUGCCUUCACUACUAGAAAAUGUACUUUCUCGUUAAGUAGUUAACCUUUAGGAGAUGCACUUUUUUGUCAGGGUAAUUCAAGUUUCAGUUGUUAGGUGGUUCCCUUCCUAACUUAAGCAUUUACUCUUAUAAAAUGAACUUUCUAGUCGAGUUAUUCCAUUUAACCCUUAGGUGACAUGCUUCCUUGUCAGGAUAGUUCAAGUUUUGGUUUGCUAGUGACAUACUUCCUAAAUUAAGCCUUUACUUCUAGAAGAUGUACUUUCUGGUUGAGUCUUUCCAUGCAACCCUAGGAGAUGCACCUCCUUAUCUGAGUAAUUCAGGUUUCAUUUAUAAGGUGAUGCACUUUCUAAAUUGAACCUUCACUCCUAAAAGCCGCAUUUUCUAGUUGAUUCAUUGCACUUAAGUCUUAGGAGACGCAUAUCCUUGUCAGUUUUCAUUUGUCAGGUGGCAUAUUUCCUAAUUUAAACGUUUAUCUCUAGAAGACGCACUUUCUAGUCAGAAUUCCUCACUUUAAUUCUUAGGAGACGCACUCCCUCCUCUUGCUUAUUUAAUUUUACUCUCAAGAGAACCAUUUCUUACUCAGAGUCUUGAUUCAUCAUUACAACAUGCAAAAUAUUGUGAUUGGAUUUGAUAUUUGAAAAAUUUUUCUAAUGAUAAACUGGGGCAAUAAUUUAAUUCAUGUUAUUGAAACCAUCAUUUAGGACCCUCUUGAAAAAUGAGACGUUAUUUUUGAAAAUUAAGAUUUCUAUCAUAACCUUUGUUUGAUAUAAUUUGCUUUCUAUUUUUGAUGAGGUUUCAGUAGUACGCCUGAAGAACAGGGCGAAUAAAUAGAAAAUCCAGAAACAAGGUGAAGAAGUUGAAAGUGAAGCAACAACGUGAAGAAGUUAAAAGUCAAGAAACAAGGUGAAGAAAUUGAAAGUCAAUGGAUUGAAGAAAUAGCAAGUCAGAAUCCUGGUGAACAAGGUGAAGAAAUUGAAAGCCAAUAAACAAGGUGAUGAAAUUCCAAGUCGAGAGCUUGCUCAGAGAACAAUUUAAGGAAAUUGCAAGUCAGGAGCCCGCCUAUAGAAUAGGGUGAUGAAAUAUCAAGUCAAGAGACAAGGACAGCUGCAUAGAUAGGACUUUUGUAAUUUAUUUAUGUUUUUAACUUGUAAUUUUUUUGUUUUGAUGUAAUGAGAGAGUUGUGGACCAAAACCUUGACAGGACUUCACUCGACUAUCUAAAUCGGUAUAGUCCUUCUCCUUCUAACCCUUUGAGAUACCUGUGACUUGAUUUCCUCAUAACUUGGGUAGGUAUGAUUUCCAAAAUAAAGACUUGAUUGCGUUUGUCCUUCUUUUUCUUUCUUUUGAAUAAAGGUCGGGUCAAAAUUUUGUCUUAUUGUCUACUUCUUUGUCUAAAAACAUUUUGUGUUAUAUAUUAAAUAACUAAUCUAUUAGGUCAAUAGCCUAACGUCUCAUAUCAACAUAUACCAUAAUCAUCACACAAAUGAGUAAUCGUUUUUGAAGCAUAAAGCCACAAAUAUAUAAUAACAACCCUAUAUUGAUCAUGAUAAACAUCAACCAUCAUUAGAAUAUAAAGCACAAGAACUUACCAGAACGUCCCAUACCACCGGAAUGUACACUAAAAAGAACACAACAAAGAACUCGUCAUGGCAUCCCAUACCAUCGGAGAGUACACCAAAAUAUCCAUCCAUCAAUAUAUCAAGGCACAACUACACAAGCAACUCACCAAAGCCGCGGGUUGCACAUUUCCUCCAUGGCCGCUUACCAAGGUCUACAAUCAUUAUCAAUACAACAAGUUUACACAAUGAAACCGAUAGCACCAUAGCUAGUUAUAUAGUUGCUUAUUCUCUAUUGCAGAGAUGAACUCCAAGUCAAAUCUAUACUAGCUAAUCUCGAUAUCCAUGAAGCACUAGUUUACAAGUCUUAUAGUUUACUAGUCAUCAAAUAAGAAAAAGCUACAAGUUACCAACACUAUUAUUUAUUCACCUAGCUCAAGGUCGUUUAUUAUUAUGCAUUCUCAUUAUAUAAAUCGUCAAUUAAGCCACCACAGCAUCACAUCGUAGAUUUUAACUUAACUAUUCAUCAUACAAUAGUAAGACCAAUAUCAUUAGGCAUGUUACAACCUUAAGGACAAGUUUUCAUAUUUUAACCAAGCAAGGUCCACCAAUUGGUUUACUAGUCUUCUAGCCCACAAGUCAUAGCAAUUUAUUAGAGACAACUAGUUAUCACAUAAGCCAUUUUAUUAUUCUAAAUUCCAUAAUAUGAUAAUUUAUCUAAGUCAAGUAGAUUUACUAAGUGAGCCCUUCGUUCUACACAAGAUUACACAUAUCAAUUAUCCUUAACCCAAUACUCAGCAUAAUCCACUGCAAGUAACUAAUUAGAAUUAAUACGGGUUACACCUCUAAACUAGUGAUUAGUGAUAAAGAAUCAUUAAUAAUCUACCAAGGAAGGCAUCAUGUCCCAAGUACACACGAAUUUAGCCACACAUGGAAUAAUCCCACAUAUGUCCAUAUAUUUAAUAUAAUCACCACAUAUGGUAUCAUCAUAACAUCGUGUCACGACUCGAGCUGAGGCUCUAGCCGCAAAAGGCAUCCCAAACCAUUAAGGCCCGAUAGACCCAUGUAACAGCCCAACUGACUAGUGAUAUUUUCCGCUCUGGGUCUAGAUGCACACAACUUUAAAAAACUUUACUAGGGAGUAAGGCUUUCUUACUUAUAUACCUAGCAUCCCUCCGGUGUUUUGCCUAUAUGGGACUCCUUAUCCUAAGUUGGGAUAUUACACAUUGUUAUCUCUUAUGGAUAAAUCAGUAUCAUAACAACAUCAACAUAACCUGCAGAUUCAAUAGGCGUCAUUAUAACAUCAUUAUAUCCUGUGGAUUCAUCGAAUAUCAUCAUAACAUCAUUACAUCUUCUGGAUUAACAGAGCAUCAUCAUAAUAUCAACAUAUCCUUCGAAUUCACUGCGCACCAUCAUAACAUCAUUAUAUCCUCUGAAUUCGCCCGAUAUCACCAUAACAUCAUUAACUCUUUCAGAUUAAUCGGGCAUCAUCAUAAUAUCAACAUAUCCUCUAGAUUCACCGAGCAUUAUCAUAAUAUCAUUACAUCUUCCAGAUUAAACGGUCAUCAUCAUAAUAUCAACAUAUCCCCCAAAUUCACCGAGCAACAUGAUAAUAUUUUUAUAUCCUCUGGAUUAACCGGGUAUCAUCAUAACAUCAUUACCUCUUUUGAAUUAAUCGGUGUAACACCCCGCAUUUCGGGCUAGAAUAAAAACCAUCAUUUUUAUGCAUAGAUAAUUCAGAAGCCAUAAAUCCUAUACAAAUUUUUCAUUUUAGUCAAUUAUAUAGUGUAUGAGCCUAUUUAAGCAUGAAUUGAGAUCAUAGAGGUUCCCUAACUCAAGGACAAGUUGAAAGCUUUCCUAACAUUCGAGUUUGAGAGAUCGUCCAUAUUUGGGUCAAAUUCAAUUGACCAUAACUAUUUAUAUAUAAUGAAUUAGAGGGCCUACUCAAUAUCAAAUAAAAUCUUUUCUAAUUAGCUUUCCAAUGAUACCAAUUUCACCUAAAUCUGAUACCUAAGAGAAAAGUUAUAUCCAUUUAAGUGACUAAUAGAGUAGCAUCAUGCUAUAAAUGUAUGACGCACGCCCUAUCGUACCCACCAAAUUUCAAGUUCUGUUUCCUUAUUUUUAGGGAAAAAUGGGUAUCUUCCAUCCCUUAUCCAAUUAUAACAUGGGAUUAAACUCCCAAAGCACCAAAAUAUGAUUCUUUUCUCUCAAAUUCAUCAAGAACUCACCCUAGGGUUUCAAACUAAAAUCCCAAAUAUCUCAAGAUUUAACCGUGUGUUUUCCUUAAUUCUUCAUGAUUUAGAAUCCCCAUUGCGAAGGCUACAAGAGGCACCCAUAAAUCGUACGUAUAGCAUUCCAAAAGCUAGAGUUCAUUCAAAAGCUUCUAACUUAAGGUACGCAGGGUUUUCCUAAAAUCUCAUGGGUAUGAAAAUCUUGAUUUUUAAGAAAGGGUUUUUCAUAUUUAUGAAUAUAUUCAUGUUUUAGAAGCAUUGAUGAUAUUGUUUUGGCCUUUAGGAAUUAGUCCAAAUUGAUUUAAAAUCAUAUAUAUAUUGUAAGAAUGUGUUUUAAGGUUGAUGAUUGAAUUAAGAACAUGAUUCAUGAAAAAUCCCUCUCUAGUGAUGAUUUUUAUUUACUUAUAAUGUACUAUGAAAUCGCUUGAAUGCAUCUUGAAAAGCAAGUUAUGAAAUAUCUUGAAUAAUAUUAUAUUUGGAUUAUGAUUUUGAUUUCAAAAGAGUGAGGGUUUUUUAUGUUGAUGAAUGUUGAACAUAAUCAUAUAAUGAGAAGGGUUGCAUGGUUUGUUAAAUAUUACAUGACCACCACAUGUUUAUUGAAAGAAUUGGAAUUUUGCAUAGUUUAGACUUAUGUUUUCGGAACAUGAAUUUCCUUUGUUAAAUUGCAUGUUUGCGUGGUCUAAACCAUGUUUUAAUGAAAGAAUCAAGCAUGAUGCAUUAUGUCUAAGUAAUAGGACUUGGAAGUCUUGGUGUGACGACACCAAUCCAGAUAAUACCAUGGUAAUUCAGAAUAGAAUAGAAUGCAUAUUUGAAGUUAGCUUUUUUAGAUGUUGAAAGUAGAAUAAUAUAAAAUUGGGCAUAAAGAGAGCUUCGGUGGUUCUCCAAAGAAGGCAUGAGUUCAAACAAAUCUUUGCCCGAAAUAAUGAUUUGUCGAUCCGAGUAUAUUAUAUUACGCUGGCCUAGUGUCGCGUGGCGUAUCAGAAUCACAAACUCGAACACUUGCGGCACACUCGGGUUGGGGGAUUCCACACUGAUUCAAUGGAGGAUUCCACACUGUCCGUGUAAUAUCAGAAUUAUAGGGGAGUUCCACUUAACUCAGAAGUAAUACAAAGAUCAGAAAUUGCUUUCGACAAAAAGAUUUUUAGUUUUUUUUGCAAGAAUGCCCAUGUAUUUUGAAAAUUAUAUCUUUCAUGAUGUUUAUGACUAGGUCUCAACUAUUUUAUUUAUAUAAAGGCUUUAUUUUAGAUUGCUCCGCAUACCAGUACAUCUGUAUUAACCCCCCUCCCUCUAGGUUCUGAGGCACAGUCUAGGGGUCCUGAUAAGUAGAAGAUUUUAUCAGACAGAAGUAAAGAGUACCAGUUAGUGAGCCUUCUAUAUUUUAGAAGGACUAGUUUCUUUUAGACAGUUAUUAUUUAUUAUGGUUUUGGUAUACCAGAGGCCUUGUCCCAGUUUUGAGAUAGUUGUUAUUUGAUCAUGUAGUAGAGAUUUCGCAGAUAGUUUUUAGAUGGUGUUUAGUUGAUAUUGGAUUUUAUUCCUCGUUGUUAAACUAAAUUUAGAUUUUGACCAUGUUUUCGUAGAAGAUUUUAUUUCCACAUUUCCUAUUUAUAUAUGAAUGGUGUAUAUGAUUACAAGUUUGAAGGGCUCUCGGGCCUUUAUGGUUCUGGAUGUCCGUCAUAGUCAGGGCCCUAGUUUGGGUCGUGCCAAAAUUGGUAUUAAAGCAUGGUUCAUAAUCCCAGGGUGUCUGCAAAAUUGCAUAGGGUGGAGUAUUGUUUAUGGGUGUAUAGUGCACCACACUUAUAAGCAGGAGGCUACUAGGCGUUUAGGAAUGUUUCCCUUUCUUCAUGUUCUAGUUUGUGCUAUUUAUCCAGACUGUUCCUCUUACAUACUCUAAUUUGUGCUAUGGUGUCGCCCAUACAAAAGUAAAGUUAUCCCAAUUCUUUCCUUACUAUGAUGUGCCCUGAUAUGUCUUAUUAUUGGGGUGAUUCAAGUUCAAAAGUUUAGAGUCUAAAUGGUAUGGUCCUUUCUGAUUGAGCCAUAUAAAAGUUUAAAUUUGUGCAAGGACUUGAGAAGGGUCCGUUAGUGCCUCAGAGUGUAUUGAUUUUUGUGUGAACUUUAAUUCUGAUGAAAUUGUGUUUUUUGGCCUACGGUAUUAAGAGUAUUCCAUGUUUUUUCAAAAAUUUAUGUUACAGAUGUCAUGCUUCAGGGGAAAUAAUGUGUAGCCGAAUAUUAGAACUGUAUUUCAACCGGAUUAGUUGUAUAAGUUUAAGUGCUGGUUGAUAACGCUCAAUCUACAGCUCUCGUGGGAGUGUAAAGCGGUCGUUAGCAAAUAUAGAACCCAACCUGGGUUGGGUAUCGAUCCCACAGAGAAUAGCUUGGCCAACAAGCAAGAGAAAUUACUAGACUUUUAGUGCAAGUCUCGUAGGAAAGGGGGGAUUGUAGUAUGUAACCAAAACAAGAAUGUAAGAACUGAAAAUAGCAAAAUAAAGAGAGAUUGUCACGUGUGUUGUAAACAAUGAGAAUUGAGGCGUUGGGGUUAUGUCCACCUUCUGAGGUAUACGUCUCUAUUGGCUAUGAGUGUGUAGAGUCUUGACAUGUAAUUGCUUAUAGAGAAUUGUAGUCGAUGGUAAAUCCAAGCGUCUCUCGACCUAAACAAGGACUAUUUCACUUUAACUCUCUCGAGCUUAAAGUGUGACUAACGGUACGAAUUCUCCAAGAAGUUAGUCCAGGUACGGCACUAGCUUUUUAAUAGGAAAGGGUGUCCUACUACCUUGACAUUAUCUCUUUUCCAGACAAAUAACUUUUCUC